GACGAACGCUGGCGGCGUGCUUAACACAUGCAAGUCGAACGGAAAGGCCCUGCUUUUGUGGGGUGCUCGAGUGGCGAACGGGUGAGUAACACGUGAGUAACCUGCCCUUGACUUUGGGAUAACUUCAGGAAACUGGGGCUAAUACCGGAUAGGAGCUCCUGCUGCAUGGUGGGGGUUGGAAAGUUUCGGCGGUUGGGGAUGGACUCGCGGCUUAUCAGCUUGUUGGUGGGGUAGUGGCUUACCAAGGCUUUGACGGGUAGCCGGCCUGAGAGGGUGACCGGCCACAUUGGGCCUGAGAUACGGCCCAGACUCCUACGGGGGGCAGCAGUGGGGAAUAUUGCACAAUGGGCGGAAGCCUGAUGCAGCAACGCCGCGUGCGGGAUGACGGCCUUCGGGUUGUAAACCGCUUUCGCCUGUGACGAAGCGUGAGUGACGGAAAUGGGUAAAGAAGCACCGGCUAACUACGU
rnacentral:rRNA from 1 species